AACGCAGCGAAGGGCGAUAAGUAAUGUGAAUUGCAGAAUUCAGUGAAUCAUCGAAUCUUUGAACGCACAUUGCGCCCUCUGGUAUUCCGGAGGGCAUGCCUGUUCGAGCGUCAUUACAACCCUCAAGCUCUGCUUGGUAUUGGGCUACACCCGACUGGGUGGGCCUUAAAAUCAGUGGCGGUGCCAUCUGGCUCUAAGCGUAGUAAUUCUUCUCGCUCUGGAGAUCCAGGUGUUUGCUUGCCAGCAACCCCCAACUUUAUCAAAGGUUGACCUCGGAUCAGGUAGGGGAUACCCGCUGAACUUAA
rnacentral:rRNA from 1 species